CGAAGGAGAAGAUGAUGCGAAUAAGAUUGGUAUGGUUUACAAUAGGUUUCACUUCAGCUUCAGCUGCAAUGUCUCAAUUCAUAUUCAGAGAUCUAUGGGCUCAUCAGCUCUCUCUUUCUUCCCAAUUGGAGGAGAAAUUCGGCGUAUUGGGGACUAGGGUUUCAAAUCUUGAAUUAGCGCUUCAUGAUACUCCCAAUACUCAGCAGGAUGAAGGAAACUGAAGUGUAGCACCAUCAUCAGAUCGUGUUCUUCAGCAUGGGUGGAUACUGUUUCUUGAUUAUGUAUCUUGGUGAUGUCUGAUAUCAACGGACAAUAUGCAAAUAAGGAAAUUAAUUUUUUUAUAUUUUCCUUUGGUGGUGCAAAUUUAUAACCCAGUUGUGAUUGGGGGUUCUCCCUUAAGUUUAAACAAGAUUGUUAAACAUUUUUAUUUGGAUGUCUGUGGUUUUCAACAUGAUAUUUUCUGACAAUUCAACA